rnacentral:tRNA from 1 species
GCCCUGGUGGUGGAACUGGUAGACACGCCAUCUUGAGGGGGUGGUGGGGAGACCCGUUUCGGUUCGAAUCCGAACCAGGGCACCA